rnacentral:rRNA from 1 species
UGCAUUCAAAGAGUGCGUAACAGCUCACUGGUCGAGUGGGGGCGCGCCGACAAUUCACGGGGCUAAGCGACGCGCCGAAGCGGCGGAAUGUAGAUACAUUGGUAGGGGAGCUUCCCCUGGGCGGAGAAGCCGGAGGGCGACCGACGGUGGAGCGCAGGGGAGUGAGGAUGCUGGCAUGAGUAACGAGAGCGGCGCGGGAAACGCCGCCGCCGUAAGCCCAAGGUUUCCUGGGGAAGGCUAAUCCUCCCAGGGUCAGUCGGGAGCUAAGGCGAGGCCGGAAGGCGUAGCCGAUGCGCAACAGGCGGACAUUCCUGUACCGCCUCUGGACCGCUAACGGACCGACGGGGCGACGGAGAAGGGUACGCAGGCGGGGUUCUGGACGCCCCCGUGAAAGCGCGUAGGCCGCAGGGCAGGCAAACCCGCCCUGCACGCAAGGCCGAGACGCGAGACGAAGCCUCAUGGCGAAGCUGCGGAGCCCACGCUCCCUGGAAAAACCCCUAGGCAGGGACAGAGGCGCCCGUACCAAAACCGACACAGGUGGGCGGGUAGAGCAUACCGAGGCGAUCGGGGGAACCAUGGUCAAGGAACUCGGCAUAACCGCUCCGUAACUUCGGGAGAAGGAGCGCCGCCCGGGGUGGAGGGACACGCUCCCCGAGCCCUGGGCGGCCGCAGCGAAACGGCCCAAGCGACUGUUUACCAAAAACACAGGACUCUGCCAAGCCGCGAGGCGAAGUAUAGGGUCUGACGCCUGCCCGGUGCCGGAAGGUCACGGGGAUCCGUUAGCCUUUGGCGAAGCGGUGAACCCAAGCCCCGGUAAACGGCGGCCGUAACUAUAACGGUCCUAAGGUAGCGAAAUUCCUUGUCGGGUAAGUUCCGACCUGCACGAACGGCGUAACGACUUGGGCGCUGUCUCGACCAUGGACCCGGUGAAAUUGCACUAUUCGUGAAGAUGCGAAUUACCUGCGGAAGGACGGAAAGACCCCGUGAACCUUCACUGCAGCUUGGCAUUGGCCGUUGGCUCGGCGCGUAGAGGAUAGGCAGGAGGCAUCGAAACCGGGGCGCCAGCCCCGGCGGAGCCGCCCUUGGAAUACUGCCCCCUCCGUUCCGGCGGCCUAACGCGGCGCCCUGACCGGGGCCGCGGACCGUGCCAGGCGGGUAGUUUGACUGGGGCGGUCGCCUCCUAAAAUGUAACGGAGGCGCGCAAAGGUUGGCUCAGGACGGUCGGCAACCGUCCCGAGAGCGCAAGAGUGCAAGCCAGCUUGACUGCGAGGCGGACGGGCCGAGCAGGUGCGAAAGCAGGCUCUAGUGAUCCGGCGGCACAGAGUGGAACGGCCGUCGCUCAACGGAUAAAAGGUACUCCGGGGAUAACAGGCUGAUCUUGCCCAAGAGUCCACAUCGACGGCAAGGUUUGGCACCUCGAUGUCGGCUCAUCGCAUCCUGGGGCUGGAGCAGGUCCCAAGGGUUGGGCUGUUCGCCCAUUAAAGCGGUACGCGAGCUGGGUUCAGAACGUCGUGAGACAGUUCGGUCCCUAUCCUCCGCAGGCGCAAGUGGAUUGAGGAGGUCUGCCCCUAGUACGAGAGGACCGGGGUGGACGGGCCUCUGGUGCAGCGGUUGUCGACCAACGGCACGGCCGCCUAGCUACGCCCGGCACGGAUAACCGCUGAAGGCAUCUAAGCGGGAAGCCGUCUCCGAGAUGAGUCCACUUUCCGGUAAGGGCCCGGGUAGAACACCCGGUCGACAGGGCGCAGGUGCAAGCGGGGCGACCCGCUCAGCCGAGCGCUGCUGAUAGCCCGAGCUCUUCGCAU